UCGCCUGUUUAUCAAAAACAUCUUUUCUUGUUAGUUUUUGAAGUAUGGCCUGCCCACUGACUUUAAUUGUUGAAGGGCCGCGGUAUUUUGACCGUGCAAAGGUAGCAUAAUCAUUAGUUCUUUAAUUGUGAUCUGGUAUGAAUGGCUUGACGAGACAUGAGCUGUCUUAGAGGUAUUGUUUAUUGAAUUUGAUUUUUAAGUUAAAAUACUUAAAUGUUUUUAUGGGACGAGAAGACCCUAUAGAGUUUGACAGUGUUCUUGUUUAUUUUUUGUUUGUUUUAUAUUAUUAGUGGGAGUACUGUUUUGUUGGGGUGAUGGGAGGAAUUUAUUAAACUCCUCUUUAUUUUAUUAUAUUUAUGUGUAUUUAUUUGAUCCAUUAUUUUGAUUAUAAGAUUAAAUUACCUUAGGGAUAACAGCGUAAA
rnacentral:rRNA from 1 species